GCCAUGCAUGUCUAAGUAUAAAUCUUUUACUUUGAAACUGCGAACGGCUCAUUAUAUCAGUUAUAGUUUAUUUGAUAGUCCCUUACUACUUGGAUAACCGUAGUAAUUCUAGAGCUAAUACAUGCGUCAAUACCCUUCUGGGGUAGUAUUUAUUAGAUUGAAACCAACCCCUUCGGGGUGAUGUGGUGAUUCAUAAUAAGCUUGCGGAUCGCAUGGCUUUGCCGGCGAUGGAUCAUCCAAGUUUCUGCCCUAUCAGCUUUGGAUGGUAGGGUAUUGGCCUACCAUGGCUUUAACGGGUAACGGGAAAUUAGGGUUUGAUUCCGGAGAG
rnacentral:rRNA from 1 species